rnacentral:rRNA from 1 species
AGGAUCAACGCUGGCGGCGUGCCUCAGACAUGCAAGUCGAACGCGAAAGUCCCCUUCGGGGGACAAGUAGAGUGGCGCACGGGUGAGUAACACGUAGGUAAUCUACCUUUGGAUGGGGAAUAACAACCGGAAACGGUUGCUAAUACCGCAUAAUGCAGCGGCACCUAAUGGUGACAGUUGUUAAAGCGGGGGAUCGAAAGACCUCGCGUCUGAAGAGGAGCCUGCGGCGGAUUAGCUAGUUGGUAAGGUAAUGGCUUACCAAGGCUACGAUCC